rnacentral:rRNA from 1 species
GACGAACACUGGCGGCGCGCCUAAUACAUGCAAGUCGAGCGGAUCUUCAUUAGCUUGCUUUUGAAGAUCAGCGGCGGACGGGUGAGUAACACGUUGGCAACCUGCCUGUAAGACUGGGAUAACUUCGGGAAACCGGAGCUAAUACCGGAUAAUCCUUUCCCUCACAUGAGGGAAAGCUGAAAGGCGGUUUCGGCUGUCCCUUACAGAUGGGCCCGCGGCGCAUUAGCUAGUUGGUGAGGUAACGGCUCACCAAGGCGACGAUGCGUAGCCGACCUGAGAGGGUGAUCGGCCACACUGGGACUGAGACACGGCCCAGACUCCUACGGGAGGCAGCAGUAGGGAAUCUUCCGCAAUGGACGAGAGUCUGACGGAGCAACGCCGCGUGAGCGAUGAAGGCCUUCGGGUCGUAAAGCUCUGUUGUCAGGGAAGAACAAGUAUCGGAGUAACUGCCGGUACCUUGACGGUACCUGACCAGAAAGCCACGGCUAACUACGUGCCAGCCGCCGCGGUAAUAC